AAUCAAUUUAAUUUGAAAUUAAUUUUUUAUUAUUAGAUUAAUUUUAAAUUAUUUUAAAUAAAAUAUUAAUAGUUUAAUUAUGAGUAUAGAAAAAAUUUUGUUAAUUAUAGCAUAUUGUAUUGUAAGAGAUUAAAAGUAAUUAUAAAAAAGAAUAUUUUAUUUAUAGUACCUUGUGUAUCAGGGUUUAUUGAAUUUAUUUUUAUUUUAAAAAUUUCCCGAAUUAUGAAGAGUUAAUAAAAUAAAAUUUUAAUGUAACAUAACUAUUAUUAAUAUUUUAUUGGAUGUGAAAUGUAAUUCGUUUCUUAAUAUAUCUGGUUUUUAAAGAAAUGUAUUUAAUACAAAAAAUUAUAAUUAAAUUUUACGUUUUGUUGUUUUUUUUAAUUUGAUUUUAAAAAUUAGAGGGGAUUAUCUUUUUAAUUGAUAUUUAAAAUUAUGAAAUUUUAUUUGGAAAUAGGAUUAGAAUUUUUCAUUUUUAAAAGUUUGUAAUAAAUUGUUUAUUGAAAAUUAAAAUUUUUAUUAUAUUUAAGUGUUAUAUUUAAAUUUUUAAUGUAUUAGUUGUUUUAAUGAAAUAAUGAUGAAAUUAUUAUAAUUUGAUUUAAUUUGUUGAAAUUUUGUUUAGUUAAUAAAAAGGAAUUCGGCAAUUAAUUUUUCCACCUGUUUAAUAAAAACAUGUCUUCUUGAUUUUGAUUUGAAGUCUAACCUGCUCAGUGAUAAGUUAAACAGCCGCAGUAUUCUAACUGUGCAAAGGUAGCAUAAUCAUUAGUUUUUUAAUUGAAAGCUGGUAUGAAUGGUUUAAUGAGAAAAAUACUGUCUCUUUAUUAUUUUGUUAAAAUUUUAUAUUUGAGUGAAAAAGCUUAAAUGAUUUAGAAGGACGAGAAGACCCUUUAGAGUUUUAUAUAUUUAACAUAAAUUAUAAAUAUUAAUUAAAUUUUUUUGUUACUAUAUUUAAUUGGGGUGAUUUAAAAAUUUAGUUAACUUUUUAUUUACUAAAACAAUGAUAAAUGAAAUUAAUGAUCCUAAUAUUUAGAUUAAUAGAUUAAAUUACCUAAGGGAUAACAGCGUAAUUUUACUUGAGAGUUCAAAUUGAAAGUAGGGAGUGCGACCUCGAUGUUGAAUUAAAAUUAAUUUUUGGUGUAGAAGCUUUAUAAAUUUAGUCUGUUCGACUAUUAAAAUUUUACAUGAUUUGAGUUUAGACCGGCGUGAGCCAGGUUGGUUUCUAUCUUCUACUUAAGUGAAUAUUCUAGUACGAAAGGACCGAAUAUUAAAAAUAUUUUUUUUUGAUUGUUUAUUUAUAUUAAUUU
rnacentral:rRNA from 1 species